GGAAGGGAUCUGGUUCUAUAGGAAAAAAGGGACCCAAAGAAUCCUGUCCCUCGGUGAAAUGUGGCGUAUGGAGGCGGUAUUUUCCGCGUGGGGUCGGCGGCUCAAGUCCCCAUGAAUGGGGCGACCGUAGCGGGUGUGAGUCCCGUACAGCCGCCUUCCCCGCACGGAGCUCCGUUUUCCCGGGAGUCGGGUUGCUUGAAAGUGCAGCCCAAAGUGGGUGGUAUGCUCCACCUAAGGCUAAAUAUCCCCGAGAGACCGAUAGCAAAAAAGUACCGUGAGGGAAAGUUGAAAAGAACUUUGAAGAGAGAGUUCAAUAGUACGUGAAACCGCUUAGAGGUAAACGGGUGGGCCCUCGAAGACAAGGGGCUGUUCACCGCUGACGAAUCGAAAUCGCUCUCCGCCCUUAGGCUACGCCGCCGACAGGCGAGGUUUAGGCGACAGCGCCCACUUUUUUCAGUCCCCCACGAAGCCCCAGGUUUGGCCGACGGUUUGGAAGAAAAUUUUAGGU
rnacentral:rRNA from 1 species